UACGGGGGGAGCAAGCGUUGUUCGGAUUUACUGGGCGUAAAGGGCGCGUAGGCGGUCGUGACAAGUCACUUGUGAAAUCUCCGGGCUUAACUCGGAAAGGUCAAGUGAUACUGUCGGACUAGAGUACAGAAGGGGCAACUGGAAUUCUCGGUGUAGCGGUGAAAUGCGUAGAUAUCGAGAGGAACACCUGCGGCGAAGGCGGGUUGCUGGGCUGAUACUGACGCUGAGGCGCGAAAGCUAGGGGAGCAAACAGG
rnacentral:rRNA from 1 species